UGCCAGUAGUCAUAUGCUUGUCUUAAAGAUUAAGCCAUGCAUGUCUAAGUAUAAGCAAUUAUACAGCGAAACUGCGAAUGGCUCAUUAAAUCAGUUAUCGUUUAUUUGAUAGUACCUUACUACAUGGAUAACCGUGGUAAUUCUAGAGCUAAUACAUGCUGAAAACCCCGACUUCGGAAGGGGUGUAUUUAUUAGAUUAAAAACCAAUGCCCUCCGGGGCUCACUGGUGAUUCAUGAUAACUUCUCGAAUCGCACGGCCUUGCGCCGGCGAUGGUUCAUUCAAAUUUCUGCCCUAUCAACUUUCGACGGCUGGGUCUUGGCCAGCCGUGGUGACAACGGGUAACGGAGGGUUAGGGCUCGACCCCGGAGAAAACGCCUGAGAAACGGCGUUUACAUCCAAGGAAGGCAGCAGGCGCGCAAAUUACCCAAUGCCGACACGGCGAGGUAGUGACGAGAAAUACUGAUACAGGGCUCUUUUGGGUCUUGUAAUUGGAAUGAGUACAAUUUAAAUCUCUUAACGAGGAACAAUUGGAGGGCAAGUCUGGUGCCAGCAGCCGCGGUAAUUCCAGCUCCAAUAGCGUAUAU
rnacentral:rRNA from 1 species